AAAAAGAACCUGCAGGAGGCAUGCAAGUGGCUGAGAGGCACACUUACUGCCCCUUCAUGAUUCACCUCUGCACUCAUGUCAUGGGCACGCUCUUAAGAGCUGCUGGCGCCCCACAACUGACCAGGGUGGUGUACUGGAGCCAGGCCCUUUCUGCCUAAGCAGGACACUCAAAGAGGCAGUCUUUGCCCUGCAGCCCUCCACUGGCCCAGCCAACACUCUCUCAGAGCUUAGACAUCUGCUUCUCAGAGCACCCAAACUGACAGGGUGUAUCCAGUAUAUUUGAUUCUGAAGCUAGAGAGACCCAGCUGGCCAUACACAUUGGGGAAUCAUUGACAGAUGGCAGCUGAGAUCUGAGAGCGGUUGACCUCACUUCACAAGGUUGAGUGGAAUUAGGAGGGACAAACUUCUGUGACAGGAGCCUGAGGAGCACCAAACAGGAGAACCCAGCCCAUUUCACAGGAUGUUUAAUGUGUGCUCACAAAUAGAUUCCAUCAGCUCUCCUACGGCACCCAGGAGGUCAGCUGCCCCAUGGAGGAAGCAAGAUUUGUGUGCAUUAGAAAUAAAUGAACUGUUGGAGAUAGGAUCUUCUUUGUUGACAAAACAAGUCUUGAAGAUAAGAGAUCAAGGCUUCUAGUUAAAUGGAGCAGUGACCUUAUCAGAAAUCUCAAAGCAGAAAAGUCUGUCAGAAAAACAGCAUCAGAUCAAGGAAACCAAGUACAUGGAGCUAAUUUUUGACUCUAAAGAAAGGCAAGAUUAUUUAAUAAUAAUGAUAAUGGCACAGUUUGUUAACUAUGUGAAGAAAAUCAAAUAUAGCUUUAUCUCCAUUAUACAACCAAAUAUAUUCUACAUGGAUUAAAAUAUUAAAUGUAAAAGUUAAUCAAACCAAUAAGUCAAAAAAGAAAAAAAUAGAAAAAAUAUCCAUAAAAAUUUAUUGAAUUACAAAAUGGUCAUAAAAUAUAUUAGUUCAAAACAAUGGAAUAAUUCAUAAAGGAUGACUAUUAUAGAGAUUUUCCCGUAGAGAGUUCUAAAAUUUAUGUGACUCAAAAAAUGCCUUAUAUAAAACUAAUAUCAAAUAAAAAUUUUCAGAAAAUAUUUGCUUGCAUAAGGCAAAAGAGCUAAUAACCUUAAUGUAUAAAAGUUCCUUCAAACUAAGUACCAUCUCAGAAGAAAAAAAAUCUCAAAGUGGUAAUCAAAUAAUAAAAAUUGUAAUACCAGGUCUCGAUGACUUAGCUAGGUGUGGUGGUGCACACGCCUGUCGUCCCAGCUACUCGGGAGACUGAGGCAGAAGAAUCACUUGAACCCAGGAGGUGGAGUUUGCAGUGAGCCAAGAUCACGCCACUGCACUCCAGCCUGGGGACAGAGCGAGACUCUGUCAAAAAACAAAACAAAACAAAAUAAAACUUCCCUUAAUUCUGCAACAUUUCUGAUUAGACCAAGUAGCAUCAGGAAAGAUACAGAAGAACUUUCCCUCCUCCAACAGCUAAGUUCAACUAAAUUUCUGGACACUGUAUAUAUUUUAACCUCCCCCACCUAAAAUAAAAGAAAAAAAAGAGAAGACUUUGCAGUAUGGAGAAAAGGUAGACAAGCCAGGGACCUUGGUCUCAAAGAACAACAUGGUGGUGGGUUUCCUGGGUUUUCUUUUCCAUCAUAUAUCUCAGACUUGGAGAUGAAAAAUCAGCAAUCCAGAAACAACAUUGGAUGGAGAAAAAGCUGCAAUGAAAGAUUGCCAUCUCUAGCAAAGGAGCAGAAAAGGGGCAGACUAUCAAGGCAGAAAACUUUCAGGCUGUAACUGCUCUACUCCAACCACAUCCAGAAAACAAAACUAAACAAACAAACAAAAAAAACUUGUGGCCUCAUUUUCACUCAUGCUAACAAAGCCCAAGUGGGGAGUCUAAACUGCCACCCUCACAAAGCUGUAAAUAGGUGCCCGCAAUACCCCUACAGGAGUGGUGUCAGAGGACAUGGAAAAGGGAGCCAAAACUUUCAUUUCUGUUAGCCAGUAACAAGAGUCUACUGCAGUGUAAAUGGAGACCAUAUGGGGAACUUGGACUUUCAUGCUACCUGGCAGUGACGAGGCAGCCCUUCUUUCCCUGAUGGAAUGGCAUCAGAGGAUCCCAGUGGGAAGUGAGGACAUUCACUACCACUAAUUAGUAACAAGGCCACCACCACUAUGGUGUCAAUAGAGAUCACAUGGAGAGGCAGCACAAAUAUCUAUGCCCAGUAGUUAUUAAGACCUGCUUCUCUCAGCAGAGUCAGGUGUCAGUGGAGGAGAAGUGAAGGAUCUGGAAGUGAAUUCUACCUUCCAGUAGAAAGCUGUGUUGAGCCACUUUUCCCCCUUUCAAAGCAGUGCCUAAAAAAGCAGCUGGAGGAUAAAGUUUGAAUAAGAUCCAAAGACUCUUAACGUAAUAUGAAUGUGACCAGGUUUCAAUCAAAAAUUGCUUGUCAUACAAAUAACAAGGAAAAUUUCAAAAAGGAUAAAAAGUAAAUUCAUUAUAUGCCAAUAGUGAGAAGGCAGAGCUAUUAAAAUAAUCUGACAGAGAUUGUAGAGCAACUGUGGUAAAAAUACUUCAACAAUCAAAACAUGCUUGAAACAAAUUUAAAAAACAGAGUUUCAGCACAGAUAUAUAAGACACAAAGAAGAACCACUGGACAUUUUAGAACAGAAAAAUGUAAUAACUUAAGUGAAAGCUUAAUGGAUGAUAUCAACAGCAGAAUAGAAGAGACAGAAGAAGAAAACAGGUAGCUUUAAGAUAGAAGAAGAAAAAUCACAUAAUCUAAACAACAGAGAGGAUAAAGGAAAAGAAAAUGAACAGAGCCUCCAAGAUCUGUGGACUAUAACAAAAUAUCUAGCAAAGACCUGGAAGAAGAGAAAUAGAGUGGGUCUAAAAAUGUGCUCCAAGUACACAUGGUCACAAAGAUGAGAACAAUAGACACUGAGGACUACUUGGAGGGGGAGACUGGGAGGAGAGUGAGGGUCAUAAAACUACCGAUUGGGUAUCUUGCUCACUGCCUGGAUGAUGGAAUCAUUUGUACACCAAACCCCAGUACUACACUGCCCAUGUAACAAACCUGCACAUAUACACCCUGAAUCUAAAAUAAAAGUUGAAUAAAUACAUAAAUAUAUAAAAAAUAAAAAUGUACACCAAAAAAUAGCAUCUAAAAUCUACCAAUUUCAUUAGAGACAUAAACCUACAGAAUAUGAAUAAAUAUGAAUGAACCCUAAACAGGGUAAUCACAAAGAUAUUCACACCAAGUUCCCUUGUAAUUAAACAUCUGAGAACUAGAAACAAAGAAAAAAUUUUGAAAGCAAUCAGAGAAAAGACACUUGACCAAUACGAGAAAAGCAAUUAAAAUGACAGAUUUCUCAUCAGAAACCACAGAGGAGAGAUGGAAGUGGCACGAUAUUUUUCAGGUGUCAAAAGAAAAGAGCUCUCAACCUAGGCUGACAAUCCUCUACCCAGGAUGAAAUCCUAGUUUCACAAUUGCAUUAGUCCAUUCUCACAUUGCUAUAAAGAACUACCUGAGACUGGGUAAUUUAUGAAGAAAAGAGCUUUAAUUGGCUCAUAGUUCUGCAGGCUGUACAGGAGGUGUGACUCAGGAGGCCUCAGUAAACUUAGGAUCAAAGCAGAAGGCGAAGGGGAAGCAGACACAUCUUCAUAUGGCAGAACAGGAGAGAAAAAGAGUGAAGGGGAACGUGCCACACACUUUUAAACAACCAGAUCUUGUUAGAACUCUAUCACAAGACAGCACUGGGGGAUGGUGCGAAACCAUUGGAAACCACCCCCAUGAUUCAAUCACCUCCCACCAGGGCCCUCCUCCAACACUGCGGAUUACAAUUCAACAUGAGAUUUGGGUGGGAGACAGAAACAAACCAUAUCAACAAUCCUAUACCCUGAAUAUUCAAUCCUAUAACCAAAGUGAAAGGGAAAUCAUAAUAUUCUUAAGCUGAAGAAAAAGUAAGAUAAUUUACUAUCCUAUCCAAAAAGUAUACCUAAAGAAAGUUCUCUAAACAGAAGGAAAACAAAAGAAAGACACCAGGAAAGGAAGAAAACAGAAAAAAAUAAGGGACCUGAACCUCUGCCCCCACUCAACAUGAAGACUGGAAAACGUGUUGCAAGUCAGGACUAGUUAACGUUCCUGGCGUCAGCAGACUCAGGAGGGAGCUGAACACCUGUGUGUAUCCAGCAGCAAGAAGACUGAAUGAAGAGAACAAAAGACAACAGAUUUCUCAUCUAAAACCAUGGAGGCCAAAAGGAAGGGGUACAAUAUCUUUCAAGUACAAAAAGAGAAACAUUGUCAGCUAAGACUUCUACAUCAGGAGAAAAUAUCCUUCAGGAAUGAGGAAAAAUCAAAAUAUUCUAAGAAGAAAAACCAAG
rnacentral:lncRNA from 10 species